AUUGAACGCUGGCGGCAGGCUUAACACAUGCAAGUCGAGCGAGCGGCGGACGGGUGAGUAAUGUAUGGGAAACUGCCUGAUGGAGGGGGAUAACUACUGGAAACGGUAGCUAAUACCGCAUACUAUCGGAUGUGCCCAGAUGGGAUUAGCUAGUAGGUGGGGUAAUGGCUCACCUAGGCGACGAUCCCUAGCUGGUCUGAGAGGAUGACCAGCCACACUGGAACUGAGACACGGCCCAGACUCCUACGGGAGGCAGCAGUGGGGAAUAUUGCACAAUGGGCGCAAGCCUGAUGCAGCCAUGCCGCGUGUGUGAAGAAGGCCUUAGGGUUGUAAAGCACUUUCAGCGAGGAGGCGUUACUCGCAGAAGAAGCACCGGCUAACUCCGUGCCAGCAGCCGCGGUAAUUC
rnacentral:rRNA from 1 species